rnacentral:rRNA from 1 species
GGAGGGUGCGAGCGUUGUCCGGAAUCACUGGGCGUAAAGGGCGCGUAGGUGGCGCGAGAAGUCAACGGUGAAAGCUCGGGGCUCAACCCCCGAGUCGGCCGUCGAUACUCUUGGGCUUGAGCACUGUAGAGGCAGGUGGAAUUCCGGGUGUAGCGGUGGAAUGCGUAGAGAUCCGGAAGAACACCGGUGGCGAAGGCGGCCUGCUGGGCAGUUGCUGACACUGAGGCGCGACAGCGUGGGGAGCAAACAGGAUUAGAUACCCUGGUAGUCCACGCCGUAAACGAUGGGCACUAGAUGCUUGGGGGAGCGACCCUCUGAGUGUCGGCGCUAACGCAUUAAGUGCCCCGCCUGGGGAGUACGGCCGCAAGGCUG